AGAGUUUGAUCCUGGCUCAGGAUGAACGCUGGCGGCAUGCCUAAUACAUGCAAGUCGAACGAGGGUCCUUCGGGACUCGAGUGGCGAACGGGUGAGUAACACGUAGGGAACCUGCCCGUGCGACCGGGAGAACUUUCGGAAACGGAAGCUGAUACCGGAUAGGGACAGAGACGGCAUCGACUCUGUGUUAAAGGAGCUGAAAGGCUCCGCGCACGGAUGGACCUGCGGUGCAUUAGCUAGUUGGUGAGGUAACGGCCCACCAAGGCGACGAUGCAUAGCCGGCCUGAGAGGGCGGACGGCCACACUGGGACUGAGACACGGCCCAGACUCCUACGGGAGGCAGCAGUAGGGAAUUUUCGUCAAUGGGCGCAAGCCUGAACGAGCAAUGCCGCGUGAACGAGGAAGGUCUUCGGAUCGUAAAGUUCUGUUGAAGGGGAAAAAGAGCGGAGAGAGGAAAUGAACUCCGAUUGAUAUUACCCUUCGAGGAAGUCACGGCUAACUACGUGCCAGCAGCCGCGGUAAUACGUAGGUGGCGAGCGUUAUCCGGAAUGAUUGGGCGUAAAGGGUGCGUAGGCGGCCUGCUAAGUCUGGAGUGAAAGGUACCGGCUCAACCGGUACAGGCUCUGGAAACUGGCGGGCUAGAGAGCAGGAGAGGGCGGUGGAACUCCAUGUGUAGCGAUAAAAUGCGUAGAUAUAUGGAAGAACACCAGUGGCGAAGGCGGCCGCCUGGCCUGUUACUGACGCUGAGGCACGAAAGCGUGGGGAGCAAAUAGGAUUAGAUACCCUAGUAGUCCACGCCGUAAACGAUGAGGACCAAGUGUUGGGGAAGACCCAGUGCUGCAGUUAACGCAGUGAGUCCUCCGCCUGGGGAGUAUGCACGCAAGUGUGAAACUCAAAGGAAUUGACGGGGGCCCGCACAAGCGGUGGAGUAUGUGGUUUAAUUCGAAGCGACGCGAAGAACCUUACCAGGCCUUGACAUAGGGUGCGAAGCUAUGGAGACAUAGUGGAGGUAAACAUCCAUACAGGUGGUGCAUGGUUGUCGUCAGCUCGUGUCGUGAGAUGUUCAGUUAAGUCUGGCAACGAGCGCAACCCUCGUGAUGUGUUACCAAUAUCGAGUUAGGGACUCACAUCAGACUGCCGGUGAGAAACCGGAGGAAGGCGGGGAUGACGUCAAAUCAUCAUGCCCCUUAUGGCCUGGGCUACACACGUACUACAAUGGCGGCGACAGAGGGCAGCGAGCCUGCGAAGGCAAGCGAAUCCCCAAAAAGCCGUCCCAGUUCGGAUUGGAGUCUGCAACCCGACUCCAUGAAGUUGGAAUCGCUAGUAAUCGCGGAUCAGCAUGCCGCGGUGAAUACGUUCUCGGGCCUUGCACACACCGCCCGUCA
rnacentral:rRNA from 1 species